AGCCAAUCCCCGCGGGGUGGGCGGGGCGAGCGCGAGCCCAGCUCGGGUGGUAAAUAGAGUACAGCAGGACCCUCCCUUUAAGGUGUCCCCCGACGAAGCCUCUACACCUCGGAGCUUUCAGCAUCCCUAAAAUCACAGCGACACAGGCUAGGUCUGCACAGCAGAGGGAAAGUCACCACCGUUCCCUGCGCCUCACGGAAUGUCAUCAAGAUAGAAAGCAUUUCUGAAGAAAGUGAAAACGCAAAUAAGUUUGCCAUCGACAAGUGACUUCUGUAGCGUGAGUUCGGUCUCAUAAGAUAAGGAAAAGCUUUGUAAAAAACAAAACCAAAACCAAAAACACCCACGCGCGCAUUCAGCGACAGGUUUAGUGUGGGAUCGUGCAACCCGGAGCAACGCAGGAGGCAUUAUUGUAAACUCUGUAAAAUGAGUACUUAUCGGAAACCAUGCUGAUCGCUAAGGAGCUCUGAGAGGCAAGACUCUGGGUUCCUUUUCUGUAACUGGGAAGGCUAUUAUAAUGAUCCUAGUAAUCGGAAAUCAUUAGGAAAACUUGUAUACUGAAGCUGUAUUUAUAUUCGCUGCCCUUGAGAGGCUGCCGAUCUGUGUUCUGCAAUGUAGGUGGCAAAGUAAGGUGAUUAAUUAUGCACAGAUCGUGAUUUCUGGUGUCACAUUCCAGCGCCUGCUGUAUUUUUAAAUUUUUGUAUAGGUAGGUGGCCCCAGCCAUUGGUCGCUAUCUUCACACUUUUUAAGAAAAAAAAAAUCUGUCAGGUACCAGGUUGGGAAUCUUUUCAGCACUAGGACUGGAGGCAGCUUCAGUUUGUGUCUCCCCCGCCCUUUUUUUUCCUAGACAUAUUUUAAGACCUCAUUCCUGCGGUCUAAAUAAAAAGUUUGCAGUUAUUUACUCAAAUCCUUUUCAAUAAAUUCACACAUAAUUCUAGCUUAAGACUACAGUAAAUGUGUGUUUUGAAAUCAUAUUUCUCUAGAAUAUGCUAGAAAAUCUGAGAAAAGAUUAUAUUGGUAAGUUUACUUUUUUGUCUCAAUCUCCAUCCAUCUCCUCUGCAUUUAAGAAAGAGGAAGAGGGCAGAACUGGAGAAAAAGCAAAGCUUAAUAAUGGGGACACAGUAUUUUUUCCUUCAGUGAAUGAUUAAUUCCUCGCCGGUGAGCCAGCUGGUCUGGUCUGGGACACCAAUUGCAGCCAUGUGCCUGCCCCACAGCUUCUCUUUAGGGAGGGAGAGUUGGUGGCGCUAGGGUGGAUGUCACUUUCAGAAAAUCCAGCCACUUCAGUUUGGAGCGUGGAGAUGGUGGUUUCCUGACCAGCAGAGAAAUCUGCUCAGGGCCUGGCCGGGCAAAGGCUGCCUGCGACUCUGUUCCUGACAGUAUUCGAUUAACAACCUCUUCUCUGAUAUUAAGUCUGGAAAUGAUUUCAUACCCGAGUCCCCGACAGUUCGAGCCUUUUGAUGUACUUUGUGUGCAUGUGUUUCUGUCACAUACGUGCCACAGUGGAACAGAUUUUGUUUUGACACUAUUUUGGUUCAUGAUGUUAUACUUUGACUAUUUUACGAUAAUAGCCAACGUAAACAAACAUCUUUGGGAUUCUCAAAUUAUUACUUGUGAUUCUUGGACAUUGCAGCUCUGAGAUACUGACGCGUUCCUAGCUUUUUCCAAGGACACCGUAUGUUAACAUCCGUGCCAGCCUCAUUAUCCCUACAGUCAGGCUCUGGGCUGGUUCCUAAUGAGCGUUGUGCAGGAUUACUUUACACACUUGCAAAGCUGAUUGAGGCACUGCCUUCUCCCAUGAUCAUUUUUGUACCCUGAUGCAGUAAAAUGGCUAAAUAUG